rnacentral:sRNA from 2 species
UGUUGGCUUAGGGAUUGCAGCGGCAUCCUUUUUAUGUUUACCGCGCCUGGCGAAGGUAAACUGAAAAAGAUAUAGCGGAAAGCCCGACCCCGA